GUUCAUCUCUCUGCCCUUUUGUGCGACUGCAGCUCCUCAAACAAACCAUAUAAAGACGCUCUUUGUUUUUACAUCUAUUAAGACACUUUUGUCAUCCUCAUGGUUAACAAAGAAAAUGAGUUUAUAAUUUUGUCAUCCUCGUGGUUAACAAAGAAAAUGAUUUGUCCUUUUCUCUGUAUUUAUUUGAUCAACCGGGAUGGUUUAAAUACAUAUAUAAAGCUGACUUGUCUCGAAUAGAAUUGUCGGUGAAAUUGUUAUAGAACAGCAGUUCUUCUCUCCUUCUAUUUUAUUAGUGGAUUAGAGAUUACUCCAUCCCUUCCAAACUAAAAUUCGGAUUCUCUGUUUCGAUUUGGAUAUCGUCAAUGGGAAAACCAACGGGGAAGAAGAAGAAUCCCGAUACUCCUCCGACGGAUUCUUCCGGUCGCGGUGGCGGAGGAGGAAACAAGUCAGGAAAAAGCUUCGAUCGUUCAGCCUCGAAGGCGGACGAAGACAUGACGAUCUUCAUCAAUCGAGCAACAGAGCUGAAAGAAGAAGGAAACAAGCUAUUCCAGAGACGUGACACGGAAGGCGCCAUGUUAAGGUACGAUAAAGCCGUCAAACUUUUACCUAGAGAUCACGGAGACGUUGCUUACCUGAGAACGAGCAUGGCCUCUUGUUACAUGCAAAUGGGAUUAGGAGAGUAUCCCAACGCCAUUAACGAAUGCAAUCUCGCUCUGGAGGCUUCUCCUAAGCACAGUAAGGCUUUGUUGAAACGCGCUCGGUGUUAUGAGGCGCUGAAUAAGAUGGAUUUCGCGUUUAGGGAUUCUCGUCUUGUUCUGAAUAUGGAGCCUGAGAAUGUUUCUGCUAAUGAGAUCUUUGAGAGGGUCAACAAGGUUUUGGUGGCUAAAGGGAUCGAUUUGGUGGAGUUGGAGAAGAGUUUCCUCCCUGUGGAGCCUGUUGGCGCUGCUAGGCUAAGGAAGAUUGUCAAGGAGAGGUUGAGGAAGAAGAAGAGGAAGACGGAGAGGAAAAGUAUCGAGGAUGCCGCCAAAAUUGAAGAUGAUAAGAAGUUAGAGGAUAAGGUUGUGGUUGAGGAGGAGAAGAAGAAGAAGACGGUAAAUGCUGAAAAGGAUGUUGAAGAUGGAGAUAGCAGGAGGAAGAAACUAGAGGAGGAGAAGAAAGCUAGUCCUGUCAUGGAUAAAGAGGUCAUUGCUUCAGAGAUUGACCCAAAGGUGACUAGGACGGUGAAGCUGGUUCAUGGAGAUGAUAUACGGUGGGCGCAAUUGCCGUUGGAUUCUAGCGUUAGACUUGUGAGAGACGUUAUCAAAGAUCGGUACCCUUCUCUGAAGGGUUUCUUGAUCAAAUAUAGAGACCAAGAGGGUGAUUUGGUUACCAUUACCACGACGGAUGAGCUCAGACUGGCUGCUUCCACGAGGGAGAAACUCGGCUCUUUUAGAUUAUAUGUAACUGAAGUUAGCCCCAAUCAAGAACCGACUUAUGAAGGUGGUAUGAACAAUGAGGAAUCAACCGAUAAGUUUGCUAAGGGAUCGAGUAGUGUUGGAGACUGUGUGGAAUCUGAGAAAGCAUCUGCUGGCCUUGAUCAUUGGAUUUUCCAGUUUGCGCAAUUGUUCAAGAACCAUGUCGGGUUUGAUUCUGAUUCUUACUUGGACCUUCAUAACCUUGGGAUGAAGCUUUAUACCGAAGGGAUGGAAGAUACCGUCACUGGGGAAGAUGCGCAAGAACUCUUUGAUAUUGCUGCUGAUAAGUUCCAAGAAAUGGCUGCACUUGCCUUGUUUAACUGGGGGAACAUUCAUAUGUCUAAGGCAAGAAGACAGAUCUAUUUUCCCGAGGACGGCUCGAGAGAAACUUUACUAGAGAAGGUCGAGGCAGGAUUUGAAUGGACAACGAAGGAGUACAACAAAGCUGCAGAAAAAUACGAGGAAGCGGUUAAAGUUAAAUCUGAUUUCUACGAAGCUCAUCUUGCACUCGGGCAACAACAGUUUGAGCAGGCUAAGCUUUGCUGGUAUCAUGCGCUUAGCAACAAGAUAGAUGUAGAUAGCGAGGCUUCUCAGGAUGUAUUAAAGCUCUAUAACAAAGCUGAGGAGAGUAUGGAAAAGGGUAUGCAAAUUUGGGAAGAGAUGGAAGAACGCCGUCUUAAUGGAAUUUCCAACUUUGAUCAACAUAAAGCAAUGCUGCAGAAGCUGGGCUUGGAUGGGGAGUUUAGUGAAGCGUCUGGUGAAGGAAACGCAGAGCAAACAGCCAAUAUGAGCUCUCAGAUUAACCUGUUGUGGGGUUCUUUACUGUAUGAACGGUCUAUUGUUGAGUAUAAACUUGGCCUACCAACUUGGGAUGAAUGCAUGGAGGUUGCAGUGGAGAAAUUCGAACUAGCUGGAGCUUCAGCAACCGAUAUAGCUGUCAUGGUGAAGAACCAUUGCUCAAAUGAGAAUGCACUUGAAGGUAUGGGAUUCAAGAUCGAUGAGAUUGUACAAGCUUGGAAUGAGAUGUAUGAUGCCAAAAGAUGGCAGAUCGGUGUCCCAUCUUUCCGGCUAGAACCUUUGUUCCGGAGACGGUCACCAAAACUGCAUGAUAUUUUAGAGAAUAUAUUUUCAGGGCCUCAGUGAUGAAAACCCUCAUCAUAUAUACAGACCGCACAUAUCAUCAGUUGGCAUCAGUUUUGAUGUUUUCACUAGGUAUUGCUAUUUGCUGAGAGUUGUAUGCAAUUUUUCUUUCUUUUUGUUUGGUUUGUCGGCUUUUUGGAAGCAAUAUUUUUUUUUCUCUUGGCGGGUAUGGCCGUGAAGAAAAUGCGUGAUGACUUUUGUGCAGUUUGGGUUCCAAAUUUUUUUUUUCUUUUCAUUUUGGUGGGUCUGUAAUUAUAUCAUUGUUUUGUAAUUUUUUUAUUGAUUGCUUGGAAUUGUUUGUGUAUAUCUGUGAUGGUUUCAUUCUUAUAUUAAGGUUUUGGAUUUUUUUAUAUAUUUAUUUAUUUAUUUGUCAAACCGCUGAUCUAUUAUUCAAGUUUGAGCCAGAUCGAAAUUGAACAACCAAUAUAAUACAACUCUCGAUGAAAUCUUCUUGCUAU